GAGGCGUUUGGGGCUAGGUCGCGGGGCGGGAAGCUACUCCUGGGGUCCAGGCGCGUUCCCGAGGCUGGGAAUUCCACUUGGGCGGUUCCGGCGGCCUCCCUGGCACUUUACAUCGAAGGCCUGUUGAGUGGGAAGCACAAUCCCGGAGGGCCGGCUGAUGAGGGCGAGGAGUCGGUGCGGUUUCCCCCGCGAGAAGAAGAAAAAGGAAGAAAAUGAAAAUCCUGGUGAACACUUCCUCUUUCUCCAAGAUACACAGUUGCAGAGACAACCGACUGCAUGGGAAAUGUUUUGCCAUCUUUUGAAAGAAGUUCCGUAACUAAAGAAAGAUGUGAGAAACAGCCUGGAAUUUUGUGUGGCUUCAGUAGCCUGAGGGCAAUGUCGACAAGUAAUUGGAUCGCUUUCCUCCCUUUCCCUAGUCUCAGAACACAGGUCUUUGGCCACUCCAGUGAGAUUCUUUAUCCCGGCAACAACAGUUAACUUAAUGCCAAGCAUUUACUGACAGCUGGCAUCCGGCCACAUGCUUUAAUAUAUGGGUUUUACAUGCAUUGCUUCAUUUAAUCCUCACUUGCCCAUGAGGUAGGCACUGUUAUUAUCUCCAAUUUACAGACCAGGAAACUGAGGUUCAGGAAGUACUAGUGCAUAGUUUGAACCUAAGUCUGAACCCUCAACCGCCCAACCAUUCUCCAAUGCAUGAUUCACAGAAGAUAAUAAAAAUGUUCCCAAACUCUGCUGCAUGUUUAGAAAAUAAUCCCUUUUAUCCAAAUCAGAUUUUUAACAUUGAGGGGUAGUUUUCUACAACCAUAAACCACCAAUUGCGUGUAUAGAGCCACGUUACUCAUACAAAAUAAAUGACUUAAAAUU